UUGCUGUCACUGUCACUGGAAAUACCAUGAUCACCAGGCCUCUUGUGCGCUAAGAGGUGGUUUUCCCAGGAUGAGGCCUGUCCCUUGCACGCUGGGCACACUGACCCCUGCAAGUGUCCUCAAAUGCAGGAAACUUGAUUGCACAAUUUUGUGACAAUGGGGGACUGAUUUAUUUCUUGUUUUCCCCCU
rnacentral:snRNA from 12 species